UACAGAGGUCCCAAGCGUUGUUCGGAUUCACUGGGCGUAAAGCGCGCGUAGGCGGCUUUGCAAGUCGGGUGUGAAAUCCCCAGGCUUAACCUGGGAACUGCAUUCGAGACUGCAUUGCUAGAGUAUGGGAGAGGGAAGUGGAAUUUCCGGUGUAGCGGUGAAAUGCGUAGAUAUCGGAAGGAACAUCAGUGGCGAAGGCGACUACCUGGCCUGUUCUUGACGCUGAGGCGCGAAAGCUAGGGGAGCAAACGGG
rnacentral:rRNA from 1 species